rnacentral:rRNA from 1 species
GAUGAACGCUAGCGGCAGGCCUAACACAUGCAAGUCGAGGGGCAGCACAGGUAGCAAUACUGGGUGGCGACCGGCGGAUGGGUGCGUAACGCGUAUGCAACCUACCAUUGAUUGGGGCAUAGCCCGAAGGAAUUCGGAUUAAUACUCCAUAAUAUUCAUCAAAGGCAUCUUUUAUGAAUUAAAGCUUUUGCGAUCAAUGAUGGGCAUGCGUGACAUUAGUUAGUUGGUGAGGUAACGGCUCACCAAAACGAUGAUGUCUAGGGGUUCUGAGAGGAUUAUCCCCCAACUGGUACUGAGACACGGACCAGACUCCUACGGGAGCAGCAGUGAGGAAUAUUGGUCAAUGGACGCAAGUCUGAACCAGCCAUGCCGCGUGCAGGAUGACGGCCCUAUGGGUUGUAAACUGCUUUUCCACGGGAAGAACCCUCCGACGUGUCGGAGACUGACGGUACCGUGGGAAUAAGCAUCGGCUAACUCCGU